UCUCCGUUGGUGAGCCAGCGGAGGGAUCAUUACAGGAUCGAAAGACUCCUAUAACCCCUGUGAACUUACUACAAAUACGUUGCUUCGGCGGGUGAACCGGGUCUCCCGGGGCGUUCAGCCCGCCGGCAGCCUUCAAAUUCUGUUUCUUUGCGUUGGCAUCUCGAGUAUACAAAAAUAAGUUAAAACUUUCAACAACGGAUCUCUUGGUUCUG
rnacentral:misc_RNA from 1 species